rnacentral:tRNA from 1 species
GGGCGAAGAUGGGUUCGUAAACGCUUCCGUUUACUAGACUCAAAAUCUGGUUGUAGCAAUACAGUAAGGGUUCAAGUCCCUUCUCGCCCACCA